rnacentral:lncRNA from 1 species
UCUUUUCAUGUCUGUUUCUGAUGAGAGACUAGCUGAAUCCAAGAAGAGAAGCCCUUGAAUAGUGUAUUGAAUACUAGACAAACAUUCACACAUUGGCUUCUUUGGUGCCAGAAUGAAGAAAGGAUCAAAUUGAGACAACCAGGAGGGAAGAGUUCCCUGG